CACACUGGAUUCUUGUGAUUGUCAACAUUUCUGCACAGAAAAUACUGCUCAUUGACCCCAUGGGGAAUGAAGGUGUUUAUGACAGGAAAAUUCUGCGCAACUGGAGGAAUUUUCUGAGGAUGAGAGGGCAUGAAGACACCAUGGAGUGGCAGUUACACACUAUGCAACACAACAAGCAACAGGAUUCCAGCAGUUGCGGAGUUUUGCUGUUAAAGUUUGCAGAACACUACCUUGCUUUUGGAGAGGUCAGUGAGGUGUUAACCACUACAGAAGCAGUUGUGCUGGAGCGAAUGCAGAUAGCUUGCACCCUACUUGAACAUCGAGGUAAGUCCAGUAAAGUCCUUAUCACGUUAGAGUGUGUAC